AUGGCGUCCCCUCGUCGUCGCAUGGCGGCCGCGCCCGCCGCCGCCCUCCUCAUCCUGCUCCUCCUCGUCGCCACGGAGAUGGGGACGGCGGAGGCCCGGACGUGCGAGUCGCAGAGCCACAGGUUCAAGGGCGCCUGCUUCAGCGACAGCAACUGCGCCAGCGUGUGCCGCACCGAGAACUUCCCCCGCGGCCAGUGCAACACGCACUACGUCGAGCGCAAGUGCUACUGCGAGCGGGACUGCUGA
rnacentral:rRNA from 1 species